rnacentral:rRNA from 1 species
AAUAUUGCACAAUGGAGGAAACUCUGAUGCAGCGACGCCGCGUGAGCGAUGAAGGCUUUCGAGUCGUAAAGCUCUGUCCUAGGGGACGAUAAUGACGGUACCCUAGGAGGAAGCCCCGGCUAACUACGUGCCAGCAGCCGCGGUAAUACGUAGGGUGCAAGCGUUGUCCGGAAUUACUGGGCGUAAAGGGUGCGUAGGCGGCAUAUUAAGUCAGGUGUGAAACCCCACGGCUCAACUGUGGGCUUGCACAUGAAACUGGUAUGCUUGAGUACAGGAGAGGAAAGCGGAAUUCCUAGUGUAGUGGUGAAAUGCGUAGAUAUUAGGAAGAACACCAGUGGCGAAGGCGGCUUUCUGGACUGUAACUGACGCUGAGGCACGAAAGCGUGGGGAGCAAACA